rnacentral:rRNA from 1 species
GCGGAGGAAAAGAAACCAACCGGGAUUGCCUCAGUAACGGCGAGUGAAGCGGCAAAAGCUCAAAUUUGAAAUCUGCGUAAGCCGAGUUGUAAUUUGAAGAUGGCUACUUUGGUAAUGGCUCUUGUCUAUGUUCCUUGGAACAGGACGUCACAGAGGGUGAGAAUCCCGUGCGAUGAGAUGUCCAUUACCGUGUAAAGUGCUUUCGAAGAGUCGAGUUGUUUGGGAAUGCAGCUCUAAGUGGGUGGUAAAUUCCAUCUAAAGCUAAAUAUUGGCGAGAGACCGAUAGCGAACAAGUACAGUGAUGGAAAGAUGAAAAGAACUUUGAAAAGAGAGUGAAAAAGUACGUGAAAUUGUUGAAAGGGAAGGGCUUGAGAUCAGACUUGGUAUUUUGUAUGGCUUGCUUUCGGGCGGGUCCUCUGCAGUUUACUGGGCCAGCAUCGGUUUGGGUGGCAGGAUAAUAGCAUAGGAAUGUGGCUCUACUUCGGUGGAGUGUUAUAGCCUUUGUUGAUACUGCCUGCCUAGACCGAGGACUGCGUCUUUUGACUAGGAUGCUGGCAUAAUGAUCCUAAGCCGCCCGUCUUG